UCCUAGCCAUAAACGAUGGAUACUAAGUGUUGUGCGUAUCGACCUGCGCAGUGUUGUAUCUAACACGUUAAGUAUCCCUCCUGGGGAGUACGUUCGCAAGAAUGAAACUCAAAGGAAUUGACGGGGGCCUGCACAAGCGGUGGAGCAUGUGGUUCAAUUCGAUGAAAAGCAAAGAACCUUACCAGGGAUUGACAUGCCGUGAAUCCUCCCGAAAGAGAGGAGUGCCUUCGGGAACGCAGACACAGGUGGUGCAUGGCUAUUGUCAUCUCAUGCCGUAAGGUGUUGGGUUAAGUCCCGAAAUGAGUGCAACCCUCAUGUUUAGUUGCCAGCAUUGAGUUUGGAACCUUGAACAGACUGUCGGUGAUAAGCCGGAGGAAGGUGAGGAUGACAUCAAGUCAUCAUGCACCUUACGCCCUGGGUGACACACAUGCUACAAUGACUAGGAAAAAGGGUCGCGACCCUGCGAGGGAAAGCUAACCUCAAAAACUUGACCUCAGUUCGGAUUGCAGGCUGCAACUCACCUGCAUGAAGCCGGAAUCGCUAGUAAUCGUCGGUCAUCCAUACGGUGGUGAAUCCGUUCCCGGGCCAUGUUCACACCGCCCGUCACACUAUGGGAGCUGGCCAUGCCCCAAGUCGUUACCUUAACCACAAAGAGGGGGAUGCUGAAGGAUGGGCUAGUGACUGAAGUGAAGUCAUAACAAGGUAGCCGUACUGGAAGGUGCGGCUGGAUCACCUCCUUU
rfam:Picea glauca, whole genome shotgun sequence.